GAUGAACGCUAGCGAUAGGCUUAACACAUGCAAGUCGAGGGGCAGCACAUGAUUGGCAACAAGAUGGUGGCGACCGGCGCACGGGUGAGUAACACGUAUGCAACCUGCCAUAACUGGGGGAUAACCCGUCGAAAGGCGGCCUAAUACCGCAUAAUAAUAUUUUUCUGCAUGGAGAGGUAUUAAAAGAUUAAUUGGUUAUGGAUGGGCAUGCGUUCCAUUAGGUAGUUGGCGGGGUAACGGCCCACCAAGCCUACGAUGGAUAGGGGUUCUGAGAGGAAGGUCCCCCACAUUGGUACUGGGACACGGACCAAACUCCUACGGGAGGCAGCAGUGGGGAAUAUUGGUCAAUGGGCGAGAGCCUGAACCAGCCGAAUCGCGUGAAGGAUGAAGGUAUUAUGUAUUGUAAACUUCUUUUGUCAGGGAAUAAAGUGCAGGACGUGUCCUGUUUUGUAAGUACCUGAAGAAUAAGGAUCGGCUAACUCCGUGCCAGCCGCCGCGGUAAGAC
rnacentral:rRNA from 1 species